rnacentral:rRNA from 1 species
UACGUAGGGUGCGAGCGUUGUCCGGAAUUACUGGGCGUAAAGAGCUCGUAGGUGGUUUGUCGCGUUGUUCGUGAAAACCGGAGGCUCAACCUCUGGCGUGCGGGCGAUACGGGCAGACUUGAGUACUGCAGGGGAGACUGGAAUUCCUGGUGGUAGCGGUGGAAAUGCGUAGAUAUCUGGAGGAACACCGGUGGCGAAGGCGGCGAUCCUGGACCAACACUGACGCGUGACGUGAGCGAAAGCCAGGGGAGCAAAGCGGG